UCUGUGACCCACUCUGGGGAGUGGGGCAUCUCAUCUCCUCUCAGCCACUUCUGAAAGCUGGGACAUGGCAGAGUGGGCAGGGCUGCCCUCUGAGCUGACACCCUUCCCCUUCUCCCCAUCUUGUCUCUCCUCAGAUCUAGGGCUCACUCUGAGGCGUGGGUGAUACUUGCUCCCCAACCCCAGCCUCUUCAGUGCAGGGAGGCAGGGCCUGAACUUCGGAGGGUCUUGGGGCAGGUUCCUGGGGCUUGCAGGGCGGCCUCCCCUUUCCCAGGGAAAGGAAGGGAGAAGCCGUGUCUGGGGAGGGAAGCCUCUACCUCCACCCUCACUGUGCCCAGAGCUGCAUCCCCAACCUGGCCUGGGGAGACUGGCACCAGGUGGAGCUGGUCCCCAAGGAGCCCCAACCCCCAGAACAUCUGCAGAGGUCAGCUCUCAGGGGGCCCCAGGGCCAGUCCUCUCUGCACCCCACCUUCCCUGCUCAAUGUGGCUUGUAGGUGGUUAUGCAAAGCAUAUGCAAAGCACAUGCAAAUGAGGCCCAGCCACAACCGGUCACUCUCUCCAGGUGAGACUACUGAAGCCCUCUGGUCAUCAGCAGGAAUGCAGGGGUGCCUAUGGCAGGCCGGACUCCAGGUCAGGCCUUGGGGCAGUGAGGAAGAAGGUGCAAGUCAGGGGCUGCCUUCGUGUUCUGGAAGAAUUCACGUGCUAAUUUGUAGGCGGCCUGGCCAGAUGCUUCAGAGACUCCGGCAGCAUCGAAGGCGUGAUUUUAGAUCAGUGCUCCCGAGACCCUUGUGUUAUUUAAGAAGACAGGGUCUCACUAUGUUGUCCAGACUGGUCUCAAACU